rnacentral:rRNA from 1 species
AGAGUUUGAUCAUGGCUCAGAAUGAACGCUGGCGGCAUGGAUUAGGCAUGCAAGUCGAACGAGAAAGCCUCUUCGGAGGCGAGUAAAGUGGCGAAAGGGUGAGUAACACGUGAGGAACCCGCCCCCCAGUCCGGAACAAUCCUGUGAAAACGGGCCUGAAACCGGAUGCCGGCCCCCCCCGCAUGGGGGGAGGCCGAAACAUUUAUGGCUGGAGGAUGGCCUCGCGCCCCAUUAGCUAGUUGGCGGGGUAACGGCCCACCAAGGCUGCGACGGGUAGGUGGUCUGAGAGGAUGGUCACCCACACUGGGACUGAGACACUGCCCAGACUCCUACGGGAGGCUGCAGUCGAGAAUCUUCCGCAAUGGGCGCAAGCCUGACGGAGCGAUGCCGCGUGAGGGAAGUAGGCCUUCGGGUCGUGAACCUCUGUCGACGGGGACGAACGCAAUGACGGUACCCGUCAAGAAAGCCACGGCUAACCACGUGCCAGCAGCCGCGGUAAUACGUGGGUGGCGAGCGUUAUUCGGAUUCACUGGGCGUAAAGGGUCCGCAGGGGGCGUGCCACGCCCGCCGUGAAAUGCAGGGGCUCAACCCCUGCGCCGCGGCGGGUACGGGCGCGCUGGAGUGCGGGAAGGGCAGACGGAAUUCCAGGUGUAGCGGUGGAAUGCGUGGAUAUCUGGAAGAACACCGAUGGCGAAGGCGGUCUGCUGGCCCGCGACUGACCCUCAUGGACGAGAGUGUGGGUAGCGAACAGGAUUAGAUACCCUGGUAGUCCACACCGUAAACUUUGUGCGCCAGGCGUGGUGGGGUUCGGCCCCCUCCGCGCCCAAGCCAACGCGGUAAGCGCACCGCCUGGGGACUACGGCCGCAAGGCUAAAACUCAAAGGAAUUGACGGGGGCCCGCACAAGCGGUGGAGCAUGUUGCUUAAUUCGAUGCAACGCGAAGAACCUUACCUGGGAUUGACAUGGACUGGAAUGCCUGUGAAAGCAGGCAGCCCUUCGGGGCCGGUCCACAGAUGCUGCAUGGCUGUCGUCAGCUCGUGCCGUGAGGUGUUCGGUUAAGUCCGGCAACGAGCGCAACCCGUGCCGCCAGUUACCAUCGGUCGAAGCCGGGGACUCUGGCGGGACUGCCCGUGUCAAGCGGGAGGAAGGCGCGGAUGACGUCAAGUCCGUAUGGCUCUUACGCCCAGGGCCGCAAACGUGCUACAAUGGCCGGUACAAAGGGCAGCGCCGCCGCGAGGCGCAGCGAAUCCCGAAAGCCGGCCCCAGUUCGGAUUGCAGCCUGCAACUCGGCUGCAUGAAGUCGGAAUCGCUAGUAAAGGGACAUCAGCCACGGUCCCUUGAAUACGUUCCCGGGCCUUGUACACACCGCCCGUCACAUCAUGGGAGCUGACUUCGCCCGAAGUCGCCGUGCCGACCGCGAGGGGGCAGGCGCCGAAGGCGGGCUUAGCGACUGGGAUGAAGUCGUAACAAGGUAGCC